rnacentral:rRNA from 1 species
AUUGAACGCUGGCGGCAGGCCUAACACAUGCAAGUCGAACGAGUGGCGGACGGGUGAGUAAUGCCUGGGAAACUGCCUGAUGGAGGGGGAUAACUACUGGAAACGGUAGCUAAUACCGCAAACCAUCGGAUGUGCCCAGAUGGGAUUGGCUAGUAGGGGGGGUAAAGGCUCACCUAGGCGACGACCCCUAGCUGGUCUGAGAGGAGGACCAGCCAAGCUGGAACUGGGACACGCUCCAGACUCCUACGGGAGGCAGCAGUGGGAAAUAUGGCACAUUGGGCACAAGCCUGAUGCAGCCAUGCCGCGGGGAUGAAGCAGGCCUUCGGGUUGUAAGGUACUUUCAGCGGGGAGGCGUUACCCGCAUAGGAAGCACCGGCUAACUACGUGCCAGCCGCCGCGGUAAUUC